UUUGCGGAAGCCGAAAAGCAAAUAGAGUAGGCA
rfam:Chryseobacterium soli strain DSM 19298 Contig01, whole genome shotgun sequence.